rnacentral:rRNA from 1 species
UACAGAGGGGGCAAGCGUUGUUCGGAAUUACUGGGCGUAAAGGGCGCGUAGGCGGCCUGCUAAGUCGGACGUGAAAUCCCUGGGCUCAACCCAGGAACUGCGUCCGAUACUGGUUGGCUUGAGUUCGGGAGAGGGAUGUGGAAUUCCAGGUGUAGCGGUGAAAUGCGUAGAUAUCUGGAGGAACACCGGUGGCGAAGGCGGCAUCCUGGACCGAGAUUGACGCUGAGGCGCGAAAGCCAGGGGAGCAAACGGG